UGGUCUGGAAAGAACCAACAGCAGAAUGCUAAUUCAGCUCUUCGUCAGGUGAAAACAUGGGCAGAAUUGUUGAAUACCUUCUGUAGCACAGGGAAACUUGAGCUGGAACUGAUCUACAAAGUUCAGAUGCAAUGUUAUGAGGAUGCUAAGCUGAUGAAACUUUUCCCCGAAAUUGUAAGGUCUCUGUAUGACCAGGAUGUGCUCGCUGAGGACACCAUACUCCAUUGGUUUCGUAAAGGGACAAACCCUAAGGGCAGGCAGAGCUUUGUGAAGGCACUGGAACCUUUUGUGAAUUGGCUGGAGGAGGCAGAAGAAGAGGAAUGAAUAGGGGGGUGGGAAGUGAUUGAUGGUAUCGUGUUGCAAUUCCUGAAGUACAUUCUAAAACCAUCAAUUUUCUGAGAUCCAACUCUUAAUUUUCUUGCCUUCCAAGUUCCAAGUUUGGUGUGUGUGCUCAUGUACCAAUAAUGAUGAAUGAUUUACUGGCAAUAAAUGCUCAAUGUAACGUUAAUACUCUGUGGCUGUGGUUAUGCAAUCUUACUACUAUCUGUUUGAGGUAAUAUUUUUGUUAUUCCUCUUGAUAAAA
rnacentral:misc_RNA from 1 species